rnacentral:pre_miRNA from 1 species
AGGGAACGAGUGAAGCUGCCAGCAUGAUCUAGCUCCGAGUGAUCAAACAAGAAAAGCUUGUUGAUUCAAGCUCUUGUGGUCAUGCCUUGCUAGGUCAUGCUGCGGCAGCCUCACUUCUUCCCGCC